CCUAUGAUUCCCUUCAUAGUAGCCUAGUUCGACGUGCAUGGCCGGUAACAGCGAUGUGCGAAGCUCGAAUGACAAUGUACUGAAAUUCACUUUUGUGGAUGUCAUAGAUUUGCUGACAAGUAGACUAUGAACCUAGAAGGUUCAUCUGGGAUAAGGC
rnacentral:ncRNA from 1 species